ACGGGUGAGUAACACGUGGGAACGUACCCUUUUCUACGGAAUAACCCAGGGAAACUUGGACUAAUACCGUAUGUGCCCUUCGGGGGAAAGGUUUAUCGGAAAAGGAUCGGCCCGCGUUGGAUUAGCUAGUUGGUGGGGUAAAGGCCUACCAAGGCGACGAUCCAUAGCUGGUCUGAGAGGAUGAUCAGCCACAUUGGGACUGAGACACGGCCCAAACUCCUACGGGAGGCAGCAGUGGGGAAUAUUGGACAAUGGGCGCAAGCCUGAUCCAGCCAUGCCGCGUGAGUGAUGAAGGCCUUAGGGUUGUAAAGCUCUUUCACCGGAGAAGAUAAUGACGGUAUCCGGAGAAGAAGCCCCGGCUAACUUCGUGCCAGCAGCCGCGGUAAUACGAAGGGGGCUAGCGUUGUUCGGAUUUACUGGGCGUAAAGCGCACGUAGGCGGAUCGAUCAGUCAGGGGUGAAAUCCCAGAGCUCAACUCUGGAACUGCCUUUGAUACUGUCGAUCUGGAGUAUGGAAGAGGUGAGUGGAAUUCCGAGUGUAGAGGUGAAAUUCGUAGA
rnacentral:rRNA from 1 species